AUACCUGGUUUGUGUGCUUCUAAGGACAAACCUAGAGCCACCAUAUGUGCUAGGCAAUUAUUCUGACUAAGCUAUAGCCUUUGACUUCUGUGAUUGUCAUCCUCUUCCUUCUACACUGCUCUACCAGUUUCUGGUCAUCUCCCUAAUCAAAACCACUCAAAAGGUGGGGGCAGGUAAUCUGUGAGUUCGAGGCCAGCAUGUUCUUUAUAGCGAGUUCAAGGACAACCAGGCCUACAUAACUACAAUCUUUUAAAUUCUGUAAUUUAAACUCUUUUAAAUUCUGUUUUUUAAUUUGUCUUAACCACAUGGCAUUUUCUUUCCUCUGCUUUUUUUUUUUUUUUUUCUUUUGGAGGAAUGGUGAUGGGUUAUAGAUCUUACAGUAGAUAAUCUACUGUAAGGGAUCUACUGUAAGAGCGAGCCCUAGUAUCAUACAAAAGAGAGUUUCAAAGCCCAACACUCACAGUCACAGAAUGAGCUCACUUCACCAAGUAAUGAAGGCUCAGCCUUUGAAGGAUAUCACUGACCAUAAAUAGACAAACAGGACCCAGUUCUGUUUAUUGUCACACUACUACCCUGUUGCUAAUUACAGCCCAUAAUAUUGUUCAAUUUGAUUUGACAGAAUUAGCCUUUGUAGAGAAAAAAACUUUAAAAUGUUCUGGUAUUGUAGGUUGCAUAACUGAUCAUUGGUUGAAAAGCAAAUCUUUUCCAUGCUUCUGUUUUGCCUCUGGUGGUUGGUGGUGGUUGUGGGUUUGCAAUGUUGGGGAUGUGUAUUGGUUACUUUCCUCAUAGUUGUGACCAAGUUACCUCCAAGAAGCCAUUUGAGGGAGGCAGGCUUUCUUUCAGCCCAGGGUUUGAGUAUCACAUGAAAGUAAGGAAGGCAUGGCAACAGGAAACAUGGCUGCAGCAUAAGGCUGCUUGCUCACAUCUGGCCAAUCAGGAAGCUGAGCUAGGCUAUAGCCCUCCACACCUGCCCCUAGGACACACUCCUAGCUAGGUCUUAUCUCCUAAAGGUCUUCAACUUCCCCAAACACUGCCACCAGCUAGUGACUUAGUAUUCAGAUAUAUGAACCUGUGAGGAACAUUCUGCUUUCAAAUUAUAACAGCAUAGAACCCAGUAUAUAAUAGAAGGAGUGGAACCUUGAGUCGGUUGGUAGAGGCAGUUCUUUGCAGGCCUGACCACCCGCCUUAUACUCCUGGGUCCACAAGGUGGCAGGAGAGAACCCAACUCAGGAUAAUUUUCCUCUGACCUCCACAGGAGUGGUGUCCACACACAUCUUCACACAGGGACAUUCUUUCUCUUUGAAUAAAUUUUAAAAAUUGAAGAAAAUCACAAUGUUGUUUGUAAACUAUUUUGGAGAGUAAAGGUCUUUUUUUUUUUUUUUUUUAAAGGAUUCUUUGUGUUGCUCUGGCUGUCCUGAAACUCACUUUAUAGACCAGGCUGGCCUCAAAAUCUGAGGUCCACCUGCCUCUGCCUACCAACCACCACCAUCCAGCUAGGUUUUCUUUUUGGAUUCCUGUGGAGCAAAGAGGACAACUUGCAAGAGUUGAUUCUCACCACGUAGGUCCCUGGGAUCAAACUGGUUGUUAGGCACAGUGGCAAGAGCAUUCAUUGCUUGCUGAGUCAUCUUGCUAGUCCAGUUACUGGGAUUUAAGAACCAACACAAUGUUUUUACCUAGUUUUCUCUUUUAUUUUCAUAUAGGAAGGGCUUUUUAUUUAUUUUUUCAUCUUAUCAGAGAUUUUAAACUUACCAGUCUGCAGGAUUAAUCUCCAAGGUGUGUGGAGUUCAGUAGUUUGUAAAUUUGUUGGAAUCACAACUACGGGUGUAGGCUUGUUGUGUUAGUGCCUACGACUUUGAAACUAGUAAAUCUCAGACUUUAUCAGCUGUUAGACACAGAUUGAAAUUGGCACCAUUUCAAAAUCACCACUAGCACUUAACAAUGUCCAAUUAAAAAUAUUUUGACAGAAGGGAUGGGGCUCACUUUGUAGCCUAGACUGGUCUUGAACUCACUAUGAAGAUUACAACUCCUCCUCCUCCAACCUUCAGAGACUGGGAUUACAGGUGUGCCCUGCCAUACCCAGUUUAAAAGUGUAUUCUGAUGAGUUCCACAGGUAUUGUCAAAGUGCCGCAAGAAUCUGACACCCCUAGGGGAAGCAAGCGUUACUCCUGUUCCCCUGUGAGAGUGAGGCUAGCCAGACCUAUAAAGACACACAGCAGAGAGAUCUUGUCAUAGGAUUAUGUAAUCAUAAUGUCACAGGUUAAGUCACAAAUUCUAACAAUAAUUUUCAAUUAGAAAGUGUAGGUGCCACCAAUUAAAUGGGUGUCUUAAUUUGACUUGGGUUUUCUGGCCCUGUUUCCAGUAGGUUCACAUCAGCAAAUAUACUUCACAUUCAUUGAAGUAUUCUAUUCAACAGCUCAGUUGGAAGGACCUCUAAAGAAGUCAUUGAACCUCGCCUUGAAGUCCUUGCAGAUUAAAAGCACACAUCCUUACUUCAGCCUCUUCUGAUUAUAUUAUAGUACUUACUCUUAGCUCUCUGUCACUUAGAAACCUUAGUUGAGUAGAAGGGAGGCAAGUGGUUUAAUAAUUACUCUAAUUUGAGGAAAAUCAGGUACUCAUUUGGAAAUUGUAUAUUUCUAAUAAAAAAAAAAAACCCAGUAAUUAUUUUAAUGACAACAUAGUGUGAGGUUUAUAUCAUCAGUAAUUAGGAAGGCUAUUUAAAGGCUGGGCAUGAUGUAGUUCAGUUGGUGAGUGCUUGCCUAGUUGGUGUUCAGUGUAUUUAGCAAUAAGUCUUUU
rnacentral:lncRNA from 1 species